UCCUGAGAGUUGAACACUGGAUGACUGACAGCUGUCCUUCAUGACAACAGAAGACACAGAAAUCCUCCUCAUCAAAAACAUGACUUUGAUCUCCGUCCUCAUCUGGACUCUCCUCUGCUGCUGCUUCACAGAGUCCAGAGGCCAGGUCACAGUGACUCAGCCUGGAGCAGUGAGCUCUGCUCUGGGACGCUCCGUCACAAUCACAUGUAGGACCAGUCAGAAUGUAAAUGGGAACUACCUUUCCUGGUACCAACAGAGAGAUGGAGAAAUUCCUAAACUGCUCAUUUAUACAACUAGCACUCGAGCAUCAGGGAUUCCAGGUCGUUUUACAGGCAGUGGAUCAAACUCUGACUUCACUCUGACCAUCAGUGGAGUCCAGACUGAAGAUGCAGCAGUUUACUACUGUAUGGGUGAAUUCUACGCCAACAGCCAGUAUUCGUUCCCACAGUGAAAAAGCAUCGUACAAAAACCUCCCUCAGUCAGACUGAACAGAAACUGAACUGACUGCUGCAGCUGGAAGCUACUGCAGAGACUGAUACACUUCACUGAGGACACACACACACACACACACACACACAAACACACACACACACUUCACAAUUGCUUAAACAACCAUUUAACAUGUAUCAACACAGUAAAACAUAAUCUUGUUGGAAAUCCAUUUUACUUUCUCUAUCACAGCUUCUCACCAUCCAUUUAUAUCCUAUUAUAGUUAUAUAAUCUUAUAUAUUGUUCAGUUAAUAGAAUGGUGCUAACGUGAGACAGUUAAUGAGCAGAUGAAAAUGUCACAAUAUAAGGGCCUGAUGAAAAGCAGGAAUAGCAACAUAAGAGCAAUCCAGAAGUACACAAUGCAGAGCAUGCAGCUCUUGUGGUGUGUAUACAGUCUGUGUAUCGCUGCUACGUAGCAUAAAACGUUUAUUAAACUUGUACUUAAGUGACAGCAUGACCCUCUGUGUUCCUAAAGAGAUAUUGCAAAUAAGAAGAAGAUAUGAAUACAAACACACACAGAGGUAUAAAUCAGAUUGUACUGACAGAGCUAUCAGAUGUGCUGUGUGCAUAAUCCUUACAUUUCUUUAUUAAAAUGAUCACCUGUAUUAAAUAGUUCAGAUUUGACUCAGGGACAAACACUGUCAGUGUAAAUUCAAUGAUCUACUGUGAUUAUUAAGAUAGGAACACACGUGUCCAGGUCAGCCUCGCUCAAAUGAAAUGAUGUUACCCCA